rnacentral:tRNA from 1 species
GGUGGGUUGGCUCAGUGGUUAGAGCGUAGGUCUCGUAACCGAAGGGUUGCUGGAUCGAAUCCCGCUAGAGGCUG